rnacentral:rRNA from 1 species
GCAAGUCGAGCGGUAACAGGUCUUCGAAUGCUGACGAGCGGCGGACGGGUGAGUAACGCGUAGGAAUCUACCUAGUAGUUGGGGAUAGCCCGGAGAAAUCCGGAUUAAUACCGAAUAAUCUCUGAGGAGGAAAGGGGGCUUUGGCUCUCGCUAUUAGAGGAGCCUGCGUCGGAUUAGCUAGUUGGUGGGGUAAAGGCUCACCAAGGCGACGAUCCGUAGCUGGUCUGAGAGGAUGAUC